rnacentral:rRNA from 1 species
UACGAAGGGUGCAAGCGUUAAUCGGAAUUACUGGGCGUAAAGCGUGCGCAGGCGGUUUUGUAAGACAGGCGUGAAAUCCCCGGGCUCAACCUGGGAAUGGCGCUUGUGACUGCAAAGCUGGAGUGCGGCAGAGGGGGAUGGAAUUCCACGUGUAGCAGUGAAAUGCGUAGAUAUGUGGAGGAACACCGAUGGCGAAGGCAGCCCCCUGGGCCUGUACUGACGCUCAUGCACGAAAGCGUGGGGAGCAAACAGG